UGGCUGGUGGGGAGGGGGGUGUUUUUUUUCAUUUUCACUCAAGCAGAAAAAAGCCUGAAACCAGCAAAAAAAAAGAAAAAGUCCCCGAGUUGGCGCCUCUGGGCCCCGUGCGGCGGUGAUGCGCUUCCGCGGAGCUCAGACUAAGGCUGACGUAGGUGACUGAAACCUGGGGAAGUGAAACCACCGGUGAGGGGAGGCUACAGUAUGGUGUCGAUGCCACGAUGGAUCGCUAGAGCAGUGGCUCGGAGUAGGGAACCUAGAAAGACAGGCACACUGUGUGCCAGAGGUGUGGCCACAGGUCGGCGUGGGAAAGAACGGACUGCGCAACAAGCAUGCUGGACCUGGAAGAAAUGUCAACAGGUGUGCCAAUGGAACCUGUGCAGGAAUGUUCCUGGUGUCACUGCGCACGACAGCCACACGAUGGAAACCACCCAAGUGUUUGCCAGCUGAGACCGCUCAGUCCGCCCAGCGGAGUUUUACUCAGCAUCAAAAGGAAAGAAACGGGCCGGUGCUGUGGCAUAGCGGCAUCCAUAUGGGUGCUGGUUCUAGCUCCAGCUGCUCCACUUCCUAUCUAGCUCCCACCCUGCUAGUGUGCCUGAGAAAACAGUGGCCCAAGUGCUUGGGUCCCUGCACCCACGUGAGAGACCCGAAAGAAGCUCCUGGCUCCCGGCUCCUCACUCUUGGCUUCAGCCUGGCCCAGCUCCAGCCAUUGCAGCCAUCAGGGGGAGUGAACCAGCAAUUGGAAGACUCUGUGUAUGUGUGUGUGUGUGUGUGUCUGCCUCUGCCUCUCUAACUCUGCCUUUCAAAUAAAUUAAAUGAAUCUUUUUUUAAAAAAAGGAAAGAAAUACUAGUUCAUACUGCAGCAUAGGUGAAACUUGAAACCGUGCUAAACAAGAGAAGCCAGACACAAAAGCUUCCUUUAUUCCAUUUUUACAAAACAUCCCAAAUAGGCAAAUUCAUGGAGACCAAAAGCAGAGAAGUGGUUGCCAGGGACUUGGCGGGGCCGGGGGGAGGCAGAGAAGAGUAGGGAGGGAUUGCCCUCAAUGGGUACAAGGCUUACUUUUGAGGGGUGGAUAGAUAGUGGUGUUGGUUACACAAUAUCGUGAGUGUUCUAAAUGCCACUGGAUCGUGCCCCUUAAAAAAGGCUCAAUCCAGGGGCCGGCGCUGUGGCAUGGUGGGUAAAGCCGCCUCCUGCAGUGCCGAUGCAGGCAUCCUGUACAGGCGCCCAUUCUUGUCCCAGUUGCUCCACUUUCAAUUCAGCUCCCUGCUAAUGGCCUGGGAAAAUCAGUGGACAAUGGCCAAGGAUGAAGCUCCUGGCUCCUGGCUUCGGAUCAGCUCAGCUCCAGCCAUUGCGGCCAUCUGGGGAGUGAACCAGUGGAUGGAAGAUCUCUCUGUUUCUCUCUCUCUCUCUGUAAC